AUACCUACCUGGCGUCGGGAUACCGUGAUCAUGCAGGUGGUUCCCCUGGGGUGCGGCUGCUCCAUUGCAUUGCGGAGUGGUUGACCCUUGCGAUUAUUUUUAUAUUUUAUAAGUUUCACUUCUACCGUAUGUGACUUGCACUUU
rnacentral:snRNA from 9 species